rnacentral:lncRNA from 1 species
AAAAAUUGCAGAAAUGAGAGAGAGCCGUCGUUGAGAGAGAAAGAGAGAAAAGGAGAGGAAAUGUGAGGGAGCACCACCGGACCACCAUGGGUAUCCGAGCAAGCUGUGGUCUCUAGUGGUCAUGCGGCAUGGGGAAAUUAAAAACGGUCGGGGUUCCGUCGGUUUGAGACCGGGUCGCGCACGACCCGACUUAAAAAUUUGAUGAGAUUCUUCACUCGAUAACCAAAAUUUAUCUUUCGUUUUAAUUCUUCUAACCGUCUAAGACCUCUAGGCAUGUCUAGGUUUUGCAAAUCAUCAACAAACACGCCAAAAUGUAGAGCGCCCCUCAACCCAGUUCUGUUGGUAACAUUACCGAACCCGACUCUUCAGAAGCAUUUUCCUUUGCAUUUGUCUUCGAUUUAGCUUAAAAUCUUGGAUUUAAAACUUGUUCAUACAUCACAGAACACACACUAAGGUUUUAGAAAAACUAAAAUUGACAUUUCAUGCAAAACAAUUGCACGAAAAUCUCUGCUUCAUCACUGACUCGAGACACCUGCUUCCUUGUCAGGUUUCGAAGCAACUUUGGGGACCAAAAUGGAGCCCCAAAUUGAUCCGUUUUGCAAAGGAUUUGUAACUAUAUGUAAUAGUGAUUUCUAAGUUUCAUAUGCACGUUUUAAAAUGAAAAACUAACAUCAUUUGGGUUGAAUUUGAACUAGUUAAACAUAGGUUGGUAAUCAUGCUAAAAAAACCUAUUAAAACUGCAUUUUAUCAAAUUUCCUCACAUUUGCAUGCUGCUUGAUCGAUUAUCUUGCAUGUGUAUUCUCUGUUUAAGUUUGUGAUUGAUGAUUGAUGAUUGAUGAUUGGUGAUAGUUUGAUGAUUGUUUGAAUGUUCUAGAGAGAAAUUUUCGAUAAAUGCAUUAAGAGGUUUAUUUAAUGGUUUAAAUUGAAAAUCAAAAAAUGACAAAAAGGGUGCUUUAGUAAUGAUUGAAAUUGUAAAUCAUGAAAUUAAUUGUAGUUAUUUAGGAAAAAUAAAUAAUUUAACCAACAAUAAAAAAAUAUUUUAAACAUCAAGUAGUCAAAAUAUCAACAAUUUAAAUCAAAAUAAAAAAUUUAAAAAGUAUACUAAAACAAUAAUUUGAAUAAAUUAAUUGAAAAAUUUAUAGGUUUAAAGAAUUGGUUAAUUUUUGGGUACAUUAGAAAUAAAUUAAUUAUUAUGUUUGAAGAAUUAAGUUCUAGAUUAAAUAAAAUAAAGGACUUUAGAUUAGUUAAGCAACAAAUUAAAAUAGAAAGUUUACGUAACAAAAGAAUUUAAAACAAGCCUAAUAGGUAAGUUAAGCUAGGAAUUAUAAAAUUUUCAAGAUAAAAUUUAAACAAUAAAUUUAACAAAUAUAAACCAAUCAAGCCUACACCAAAAGCAAAACAAACCUAACUUAAAAAAAUUAGUAAAUUGAGAUGGAAUUUAGAUAAAGAAAAUGAAAGUAAGGGCAAAUUAGUUAAAGUAUUAUUGUUGAAAUUUAGGAAGUUAAUGAAAAUAAAUUAUCACAUAAGAUAUUUAAAUGGAAACUGUAAUACUCUGAAAAACCUUCGUGCUUAAUUCGUAAUGUAAACCUCAUUUAUUCGGACCCUAAAAUUAUUUAAACUCUUUAAUAUUUUGUAUUUUAUUUUAUUGAAUAAUUUUUUAAAUUAAUUAUUUUAUUUUAUCAUAAGAAAAUUAUAUUUUUACUCAUUAUUAAAAAGAUUU